rnacentral:lncRNA from 1 species
UUGCUGUGAGUGGCUUGGAACAUGCAGAAUAUGCUGAGCAAGAAACACAGCCCAUACCUGAAGAGUCCGCAGCUGAAAGGCACAAAGAGGUACAAUGGAUUUAAAAGCCUCUUGAAGAACAGCCUUUUGCUGCAUAGAUGCCAGGCAAGACAGGGAUUGCAGUGGCAAAGCUAGGCUAGGUCUUGGAGGCUGGUGUAAGGCGAAGCGGGUGAAGGCAGGAGGCUGAUGGAGAGACUGGGGGGAAGAAAAGCCGAAAUGGAUUCACGGUGCCUUGGAUGGAGGACGAGAGGGGAAUUGCAAGCUCCUUCAACUCGUUCUGUCCGGUGAGAAGUGAUCAAGCUUGGGCUGACAAGAGGCUCAGGAAGCCCUCACGUUCUUUCGCUUUUUUACCUGCCAAUCAAACCGCUACAAGACAACACCCUGAUCUGGCAUGGACAUCGCGGGUCCAAGCCUGUAGUCACAAAUCGGAUAUCUCUGCAGCUGAUAACAAGCAAAAGAGAAGCCAGGCAACAGCCAUAUUAAAGAAGAAAACAAUCAACUCUGAGGAUGCCACCCUGAAAGUUUUAUUUUCUCCAGGAAAGUAG